rnacentral:rRNA from 1 species
AUUGAACGCUGGCGGCAGGCUUAACACAUGCAAGUCGAGCGGGGUGAUGGUGCUUGCACUAUCACUUAGCGGCGGACGGGUGAGUAAUGCUUAGGAAUCUGCCUAUUAGUGGGGGACAACAUCCCGAAAGGGAUGCUAAUACCGCAUACGUCCUACGGGAGAAAGCAGGGGAUUACUUGUGACCUUGCGCUAAUAGAUGAGCCUAAGUCGGAUUAGCUGGUUGGUGGGGUAAAGGCCUACCAAGGCGACGAUCUGCAGCGGGUCUGAGAGGAUGAUCCGCCACACUGGGACUGAGACACGGCCCAGACUCCUACGGGAGGCAGCAGUGGGGAAUAUUGGACAAUGGGGGGAACCCUGAUCCAGCCAUGCCGCGUGUGUGAAGAAGGCCUUAUGGUUGUAAAGCACUUUAAGCGAGGAGGAGGCUCUUUUGGUUAAUACCCAAGAUGAGUGGACGUUACUUGCAGAAUAAGCACCGGCUAACUCUGUGCCAGCAGCCGCAGUAA